rnacentral:rRNA from 1 species
AUACGGGGGGUGCAAGCGUUAAUCGGAAUUACUGGGCGUAAAGCGCGCGUAGGCGGUUAAAUAAGUUGGAUGUGAAAUCCCCGGGCUCAACCUGGGAACUGCAUUCAAAACUGUUUAACUAGAGUAUGAUAGAGGGAAGUGGAAUUCCAGGUGUAGCGGUGAAAUGCGUAGAUAUCUGGAGGAACAUCAGUGGCGAAGGCGACUUCCUGGAUCAAUACUGACGCUGAGGUGCGAAAGCGUGGGGAGCAAACAGAAUUAGAAACCCCAGUAGUCC